rnacentral:snRNA from 1 species
GGAUGUGAGGGCAAUGUAGCUGCAACAUCUGUCACCCCAUUGAUCGCCAGGGUUGAUUUGGCUGAUCUGGCUGGCUAGGCAAGUGUCCUCUUCCUCUCUCACUGCUCCACGUGUGUCCCUUCAGAACUGCAUGCCUUGUUGAAAAGGAUGACCAUCCCCAAUAGAGGAGGAUCAAGGUCAAGGGUAUAGGAGUAGCUGUACUCCCUUGCCAGAACCUCCAAAUAAGCUCUCAAGAACUCUUGUAACUCAAUAGUAAAAGAAAAUUACCAGUUUACAAAGUGGCCAGAGGAUUAAAAUAGACACUUAAGUAUGCUUAUUU